rnacentral:rRNA from 1 species
UACAGAGGAGCCAAGCGUUGUCCGGAUUGACUGGGCGUAAAGUGUGCGCAGGCGGCCGCGCAAGUCGAGUGUGAAAGCCCCGAGCUUAACUUGGGAAUUGCGCUCGAAACUACGUGGCUGGAGUGUGGCAGAGGAAGGUGGAAUUCCACGUGUAGCGGUGAAAUGCGUAGAGAUGUGGAGGAACACCAAUGGCGAAGGCAGCCUUCUGGGCCAACACUGACGCUCAUGCACGAAAGCGUGGGGAGCAAACAGG